GACGAACGCUGGCGGCGCGCCUAACACAUGCAAGUCGAACGGAGCUUAGAGAGCUUGCUUUUUAAGCUUAGUGGCGAACGGGUGAGUAACGCGUGAGUAACCUGCCCUAGAGUGGGGGACAACAGUUGGAAACGACUGCUAAUACCGCAUAAGCCCACGGUACCGCAUGGUACUGAGGGAAAAGGAUUUAUUCGCUUUAGGAUGGACUCGCGUCCAAUUAGCUAGUUGGUGAGGUAACGGCCCACCAAGGCGACGAUUGGUAGCCGGACUGAGAGGUUGAACGGCCACAUUGGGACUGAGACACGGCCCAGACUCCUACGGGAGGCAGCAGUGGGGGAUAUUGCACAAUGGGGGAAACCCUGAUGCAGCGACGCCGCGUGGAGGAAGAAGGUUUUCGGAUUGUAAACUCCUGUCGUUAGGGGACGAUAAUGACGGUACCUAACAGAAGCACCGGCUAACUACGUG
rnacentral:rRNA from 1 species